CUGCGCUACCCUCCAUGAUGCUGGGGAUGGCCAUUCAUGCUCCAUGCACUUAGAACACUGUCGGGCUGGACUGGCUGUUGGCGAAUGGCUGAAAGCAGGCCUGGUUGGGCACUGGAUCCUUGUCCCACGUCUCUUGCAUAAGAAGGACACACAUACAUCACGGAAGAAGGCAAGCGAGCAGGUCAUCUGUCUUGGGGGGACCGAUUGUCCACGUGCCCAGGAAAAGAACUUUCUACUUUACUGUAUCGCCUCAAAGUCUCCAAUACGCACGUUAAAAUCAGGAAACAAACGGAAAUUUCGGCAUAGAGCCCAAGUUAUAAAUCUGCUAGACUCUCUCAGGGGUCUGAGAGGCCACAGUGAUCUUCAUAACAAUACUGAGACAUCGUUUGCCUUUUCAUUUCGUGCCUAUGGCGGGGAGCAUUGCUGGCGCCCUAGCACCAAGCGGGAGCAGCUCCAGCUGGACCAGCGCGCACGGUGGCCCUCACUGCCGCGCAUGCGCAGGAAGAGCAGACGCCGCUCACUUAAGAGCGCGCUUCACGUGGUCUGCGCGUGCGCCUGGAAUAUGAUUCAGCCUUCCCAAGGAAGGAGAUUCUGCCACAUGCUGCAACAUGGGUGAACCUUGGAGACAGUAUGUCAAGUAAAAUGUCAGUCAUAAACAAGACGCGCUGUAUGAUUCCACUUAUGUGAAGCACUCAGAAUAGUCAAAUAGGUAGAAACAGAAAGUAGAAUGAUUGCCAGGGGCUGAGGGUUGGGGGA